CUUGUUCCUAGAGGGGUUGUGGGUGUGGCUGCUGUGCCACAUAUGCGUCAGUAGGUGGCAGAGAGGAGAGAGGCUAUGCCUAUGCUCAGGGUUCUGACCUGUGAACAUCUGAAUGGUUAGCAGGCCAACAUU